ACCGCGUUAACCCAGUUGGUAGUGGCGUCGGCAGUACAGAUGCCCAAGGUCGCGGGUACAAAUCCCGCCUGCGGUC